CAGAAGAGCCGCCGCCGCUUCCUCCACAGGUCCGUGCUCGCCGUCCGCACCCAUGCCGCCGUCGGCCGUCUAGCCGCCACGCCGUAGUUGCCACAGCUCCCUCUCCUUCCUGCCCUUCCUUCACCUCGGUGUGGCUACGAGGUAAGGAGCACGAACCCUAGGCCCGGUUCCUGGGCUUGGUCGGCCUCCUGGGCGGAUGUUGUUGAGUUCCGCCGCCGAUUCCAGGACCAGCAGUGCUUCCUCCCAACCCCCCACCUCAUGCGUGCACCAAUCUUCGCCGCCACUUGAUGACAUGGAGGUGAACACCACUGCAAUCAUGGUGUGCCUUCUUUGACCAAGUUAGCAUGGUGGCAUUGUUAGCAACAGAGGGGGGAAGAUUGAGGAUGAAUUACAGGGUUGGGCUGCUUACCAGGUGGGGGAUGUUCUACCAAGAGUGCUAGCCGCAGUUGUUGUGGAUAUAGAUGAGCCAUAUAGUAGGGCAUGUCUCGAAUCAUCAUCUUCUGAUACUAAAAGAGGUCAGAUUAAGUUUUUUGUUAGCAACUAGAAGGCGAAUUAAGUUGUCAAGCAACAAUCAGCGGUCAAGCGUCAAGUCCUUCUUCCGGAGAAGAAGGCCCACUCCGACAUGGCAGCCACCAAGCCCACCGACGGCUUCUCCAAAAAGGCAGCGCACCACAACCAGAAGCAAGCUCAUCUCUUCCCCCAACACAAGGUUAAAAUAAGUACCUAUCCUUGCAGCUCUGAAGAACCUUCACCGGAGCUCUCAAGAACAGAGAACACGAAAAAGAGAAUAUGCCGCCUCUUGCACAUUGAAAGUGAUGGACAACAAUGAUUUAUCCACUAAUUGAGGAGAGGAUGAAGGUAUAUAUCUUGGUGAUUGUGAUGGUCGCCUUGGUACGAAAAUGCCUCAAUGGGAUGGACCUGCUGGACGUCUUCUUCCAGCAAAGGAUUAAACCCCUGCAUGCAAGGGCUCAUGUGGAUGUAUGCGGGUCCGAAUGACUCCACGCGAACUCACCUGGAGGAGCUCGACACAAAGGUGUUGUAGGAGAAGCUUAUGGGUGUCACUAUGGCGUGAGACAACCAUAGUGCGGCAGGCUGGUGGUUCCCCUCUUCAUAGAAAACCCGCCGGUUGAGAGCUUCACGAAGAUUAUUAGUGUGGUGUCGGUUAUUAACCGUGCACCCGCUGAUGUGGCAAGCUACACCGAGCAUCAGGAUGGGACGAACACGACGAAGAGGACGAUGAUGAGACUGACUGGGACGACGGCGAUCUAGAGGAGGGAGAUGAGGCGGAAUCCUCUUUGUUGGAGAACAUUUUGACUGAGACCCUUGUUGGGGAAUGUUGCAUGGGAAACAAAAAAUUUCCUACGCACACGCAAUACCUAUCCAUGGUGAUGAUCAUCUA